UACGUAGGUGGCAAGCGUUGUCCGGAUUUAUUGGGCGUAAAGCGAGCGCAGGCGGUUCCUUAAGUCUGAUGUGAAAGCCCCCGGCUCAACCGGGGAGGGUCAUUGGAAACUGGGGAACUUGAGUGCAGAAGAGGAGAGUGGAAUUCCAUGUGUAGCGGUGAAAUGCGUAGAUAUAUGGAGGAACACCAGUGGCGAAAGCGGCUCUCUGGCUUGUAACUGACGCUGAGGCUCGAAAGCGUGGGGAGCAAACAGGAUUAGAUACCCUUGUAGUCC
rnacentral:rRNA from 1 species